UACGAAGGGGGCUAGCGUUGUUCGGAAUUACUGGGCGUAAAGCGCGCGCAGGCGGUUCUUCAAGUCAGUGGUGAAAUCCUGGAGCUCAACUCCAGAACUGCCUUUGAUACUGGAGAGCUUGAGUCCGGGAGAGGUGAGUGGAACUGCGAGUGUAGAGGUAAAAUUCGUAGAUAUUCGCAAGAACACCAGUGGCGAAGGCGGCUCACUGGCCCGGUACUGACGCUGAGGUGCGAAAGCGUGGGGAGCAAACAGG
rnacentral:rRNA from 1 species